rfam:Anopheles minimus strain MINIMTS1 unplaced genomic scaffold supercont1.1, whole genome shotgun sequence.
AAAACGGCCCUUUUCAGGGCCACCAAUUAAUUUGAGCAAAGAAUUU